UACGAAGGGUGCAAACGUUGCUCGGAAUUAUUGGGCGUAAAGCGCACGUAGGCGGCUUUUCAAGUCGGAUGUGAAAUCCCUCGGCUUAACCAAGGAAGUGCAUCCGAAACUGGAAGGCUUGAGUACUUAAGAGGAUCGCGGAAUUCCCGGUGUAGAGGUGAAAUUCGUAGAUAUCGGGAGGAACACCUGUGGCGAAAGCGGCGCACUGGACCACAACUGACGCUGAGGCGCGAAAGCUAGGGGAGCAAACAGG
rnacentral:rRNA from 1 species